rnacentral:rRNA from 1 species
UGAGGAAUUUUGCGCAAUGGGGGAAACCCUGACGAAGCAACGCCGCGUGGGGGAUGAAGGUCUUCGGAUUGUAAACCCCUGUCGACCGGGACGAACACGCCCGACCUAAUACGUCGGAGCGUUGACUGUACCGGUGGAGGAAGCCACGGCUAACUCUGUGCCAGCAGCCGCGGUAAUACAGAGGUGGCAAGCGUUGUUCGGAAUUACUGGGCGUAAAGGGCGCGUAGGCGGCCCGAUAAGUCCCGCGUGAAAUCCCUCGGCUCAACCGAGGAACUGCGCGGGAAACUGUCGAGCUUGAGUUCGGGAGAGGGAAGCGGAAUUCCGGGUGUAGCGGUGAAAUGCGCAGAUAUCCGGAGGAACACCGGUGGCGAAGGCGGCUUCCUGGACCGACACUGACGCUGAGGCGCGAAAGCUAGGGGAGCAAACGGGAUUAGAUACCCCGGUAGUCCUAGCCCUAAACGAUGAGCGCUGGGUGUAGGGGGUAUGAACCCCCCCUGUGCCGAAGCUAACGCAUUAAGCGCUCCGCCUGGGGAGUACGGUCGCAAGGCUG